CAAGGUUUCACUUUCACAGCAGCACUCUUCCACUUUAUAGGUGAGGAGAAAGAAAGAGACUUGUAGAAGGUUAUACUUUCACCUCCUCAACCUCCUUAAACAGAGGGAAGGGUCAGAUAAGAGAGAGUUUGUCCUGGGAUUGAGACUUAACUGAGUGCAAACUAUUUAUGCCCUUUGAACUCAGUUUGCAGCAAGGGAAGGAAGUUGAAGACAAAGGUGGAAAGUGGAAGGAAAAGAGAAAAACAGAAAUUUGGAAAAGCAGCUAGAAAAGUGCGGUGACAGAAAAUAAUAGGAACUAUCCCUGCCAAACUGCGACAGUUGGAGGACAGGCUGCUGCAAACCAACACUGAAAGUCCAUCUUUUUCCAGUCCUCCUCCAGAAACCAGUGCUGCAAAAAAAGGAAAGAAAAAAAAAAAAGAAAAGAAAAAAAGAAAAAAAAGAAAGAAAAAGAAAAGAAAGAAAAGAAAAGAAAAGAGGGGAAGCUGAGUUGGCUUGAGUUCAGCACCCAUUAAAAGACUUUGUAAAACGGAGCUUCCUUAUCAGAGGCUUUGUUGACUGAAGUAUGCCUGUAUGUGGGUCAGUAACUCCUGAAGGGUCAUCUUUCUUAAAGAACCUCAUCGUUAAACAUUUCUUUUCUUUCUCCAGUGCUUCAUGGCAGCAUGUCAUUCCAAAAUGAUAGCAUAGUCUUAAGAGGGCUCAAACAUUCCAUAUUUGUUCUGGCAAAUGAAACAAAGGACAUCCAUUUUUGAAUAAAACUGCCUGGUUUAAUUUCUUAUCUCAGAAGUCUUAGGAAGUUUUUCAUAUAGAGCAACUGUUCAUAUCCCAUCUAACUACAAUUUAUAAGAAAAAUUCUUCCCAAGACUUUGUUCCAGUCUUGCUCUUCCAACUAAUUAGAGACAAGAGCUCUCCUCCAUUUUUUUAAAAAAAACCUUUUAUACAGUAUCUUGUUAUCUUGUGGGAUUUGGUUCCAGGAACCCCAUGGAUACCAAAAUCCAUGGAUGCUCAAGUCUCAGUAUAUACAAUGGUCUAGUAAAACGGUACCCGUUAUAUAAAAUGGCAAAAUCAAGUUUUGCUUUUUGGAAUUUUUAAAAAUGUAUUUUCAAGCUGUGGAUGGUUGAAUGUAUGGAUAUGGCAAACCAACUGUAGGAUGAUUUUAGGGCAAUUUUCUUUUGCCUAAAAAAAUCAUGCUCAAAUGCAUGAAAACUUUUUUUGGGGAAAACCAUCCCACCUAGACAGCCCCCAAACCUCCUACAAGCCAUACUCAAAUGCAUGAAAAUAUUUGAAAAAAACAUCCACCUACACCACCCACAAACCUCCUACAAGGCCAAAAUACUCCAUUGUUCUUUUGGACUAGGAGUCCCAGAAUUCCCCAUUCAUCUAAAAGAUAACUUUCUCAAAUUCUGAUUUCGGUCUGGCCAAAGAACCAUGUAAAGGAAGGAUUUGGAAUUGUACAUGGACAGCAGACGAAGCAGACAUACAUACAUUAUCUAGUCAUUGUUUUCUGGGCUGAGCUGAGAUGUAUUUCUCUUUAAAUAUCAAUGAAUAUUUUUACAUUUUCAUAUGCAAGUAUUGUGCAAAUCUGCACUCUUUUUCCCCCCUCUCUUUCUUGGUGGUUCCUUCCUUCUUUCCUUACUUCUCUGGAUGUCUUCAAAAAGAGACUGGACAGCAACUUGCUGAAGAUAAUUUAGCUG